UGGAACACGGGCCUCGACUGUUUACCAAAAACAUAGCCCUCGGCUAAUAUGAAAAUAGAUGUAUAGAGGGUGAUGCCUGCCCAAUGGUUGUAUCUAAAAGCGGUUGAUAAAAGUUGACCUCGUAAGGACAAUUGAAUGGCCGCGGUAACACUGACCGUGAUAAUGUAGCGUAAUCAAUAGCCAAUUAAUUGUUGGCCAGUAUGAAUGGCGCCACGAAGGCCCCACUGUCUUAAGGAAAUUCCCAGUGAAAUUGAAUUCGUAGUGAAGAUGCUACGUCCAAUUUGUUAGACGAAAAGACCCCGUUGAGCUUUACUGGAGCACUUACAUGGCCCCGGCCUUCCCAUGCCUGGGAACCGGCCGAAUUUAAAUGGGCGGCUUAGAUUAUGUGGCAGCCCCCCGCUGGGGCAAAUGAAACACCACUCCCCCAUGUCAAAGGGGCUAACCCCCCCCCUUGGGGGGACAGUGUAAGUAGGACAGUUUGGUUGGGGCGACCACCUUUUAAAAAGUAACGAAGGUGCGCUUAAGGUGCGCAAUUAAUGACUGAAGCCUGACUGCGAGGGGGACACCCCGAGCAGACACCCCAAAGCCCGCCCGAAAGGCGGCGGUGGGGUGGGCCAUAGUGACCCGUUAAUUUAGAGUGGAAUAGUUAACGAUCAACGAAUAAAAG
rnacentral:rRNA from 1 species